GGGGCUGGGGCUCAGUGCUAGAGCGCUUGCCUAGCAUGCAUGAGGCAAUGGGUUUGAUCCUCAGCACCA
rnacentral:tRNA from 1 species